AUUGAACGCUGGCGGCAGGCCUAACACAUGCAAGUCGAACGAGUGGCGGACGGGUGAGUAAUGUAUGGGAAACUGCCUGAUGGAUGGGGAUAACUACUGUAAACGGUAGCUAAUACCGCAUACCAUCGGAUGUGCCCAGAUGGGAUGAGCUUGUAGGUGAGGUAACGGCUCACCUAGGCGACGAUCCCUAGCUGGUCUGAGAUGAUGACCAGCCACACGGGAAGUGAGACACGGUCCAGACUCCUACGGGAGGCAGCAGUGGGGAAUAUUGCACAAUGGGCGCAAGCCUGAUGCAGCCAUGCCGCGUGUAUGAAGAAGGCCUUCGGGUUGUAAAGUACUUUCAGCGGGGAGGCGUUACCCGCAGAAGAAGCACCGGCUAACUCCGUGCCAGCCGCCGCGGUAAUAC
rnacentral:rRNA from 1 species